rnacentral:rRNA from 1 species
UGAGGAAUAUUGGUCAAUGGACGCAAGUCUGAACCAGCCAAGUAGCGUGCAGGAUGACGGCCCUAUGGGUUGUAAACUGCUUUUAUAUGGGGAUAAAGUGGGGAACGUGUUCCCUUUUGCAGGUACCAUAUGAAUAAGGACCGGCUAAUUCCGUGCCAGCAGCCGCGGUAAUACGGAAGGUUCGGGCGUUAUCCGGAUUUAUUGGGUUUAAAGGGAGCGUAGGCCGUUUGGUAAGCGUGUUGUGAAAUGUAGGAGCUCAACUUCUAGAUUGCAGCGCGAACUGUCAGACUUGAGUGCGCACAACGUAGGCGGAAUUCAUGGUGUAGCGGUGAAAUGCUUAGAUAUCAUGAAGAACUCCGAUUGCGAAGGCAGCUUACGGAAGCGAAACUGACGCUGAAGCUCGAAGGUGCGGGUAUCGAACAGG